AUUGAACGCUGGCGGCAGGCCUAACACAUGCAAGUCGAACGGUAACAGGAAUUAGGUUGUUGAGUUGCUGACGAGUGGGGUGCGGGUUAGUAAGGACCGGGAAACGUAGUGGGGGAGGGGUAUAAGAACUGGAAACGGUAGCUAAAACCGCAUAACGUCGGAAAACGAGGGAGGGGGGCCUUCGGCGCUCUUGCAAUCGGAUGUGCCCAGUUGGGAUUAGCUAGUUGGUGGGGCAAAGGCUGACCUAGGCGACUAUCAGUAGUUGGUCGGAGAGGAAGACCAGCCACACUGGAACUGAGACACGGCCCACACUCCUACGGGAGGCAGCAGUGGGGAAUUUUGCACAAUGGGCGAAAGCCUGAUCCAGCAAUGCCGCGUGUGUGAUGAAGGCCUUCGGGUUGUAAAGCACUUUUGGCGGGAACGAAGAGGACUGUGCCAAUACCUCGGUUCGUUGACGUUACCCGCAGAAGAAGCACCGGCUAACUACGUG
rnacentral:rRNA from 1 species